rnacentral:lncRNA from 1 species
CGGAGCUGAUGGAAGAAUCCAGGAUGCUGUUUCUCCCAGUGAAGCUGAACUAAAACAUUUGCUAGUACAGGCUGAUUCUCAGAUCACCCUGCUUCACUUAUUGAUCUCUUUGAUUCAGUGCAUUACAGCCCAAAAACUUCUCCCUCCCCCUCUCCCUUUAAUCAGCGUAGAUCAUGUUUCAGCAGGGCUUUAAUGGACUCUUGAGGAUAGUCAUAGAGUGCUUUACCCUUAUGACUUGGUGGCUGUGUAAUCAGUCCACUGGCUUAAAAUCCAUCUGAUUUUCUGGAAUUCUUCUGAAGAGAACUGAAAGGAGGCCGACAGUGACAGAAUUGCACUGCAGGAGCAGGACUCAGGGUAAAGGGCCUGUCAUUCACCAACGUUGUCAUCAUGUCCAUCAAAAUACGCAAACAUCCAGAUGGCUGCUUGCCUCCUGCUUGCCAUGCUCUGGAAUAUUUUCUGCUGUUUCAAAGCACCCUGUGAAGGAGAACAUCAGGACCGUGUUUUAGCCCAGCUGCACCCAAAGAACCUCCCACCUUCAUGGGCCAAACAAGAUUCUGCUGCCCCUGAGUUUGGCUCGGCCCUUUACAGCAGGCUGAUUACUGCCUUCUUGGUCCACAUUUGAAAAUUCCCUAAGGAGCCAGCAGUGUUCCCACCUACACAGAAGAGACUGCGAAGAUGUGGAUGCACUUCAUCCAUCUAUACACAUGUUAAUGCAAGUUGUACUUAGUUCAAUCUAUCCCACCAUUUGCUCCCAUAUAAAAGAGGCUUUAUGCUUUUGUUUGAGACAAGUAUUUGAUUUAGAGUGUGAGUUACUGAGUGAAAACAUCAUAGCCUACACUGCAGGAGAAGAGGAUAAUAGAUCUAUCUAAUUCUCUCUUUUCACCUUACAUUUGCUAGAUCCUGCACAUCUGGUUACAUCUAUGUGGGAUAAAGGAGAGAGACUUCAUGUAGCUCACCUAGCAAAAAAUGCUCAGUAGCUUUUGCUCUGAUAAAAACACCAUUACAUUAUAUGUCGUCUUGGUUUGGAAAGACAGGUGUCUGCUAAGGAAGGCAGGACUCUCCCCUGAAAUGGAAAAAUGUAAACCCCCCUCCCUCUGAAUUGCUAUAAAUUUUAAAUAAGGGGCUCUCAGGCAAAAAUAUGGGAGCAGGAAUAACAGUUCUUUAUUAGGGAAGAAAAUAAAAAGAUAAAAUAAACAAUGCA